GGGGAGGUGCCAGAGUGGACGAUUGGGACCGCCUGCUAAGUGGUUGUCGGGGUUAAACUCGACCGAGGGUUCGAAUCCCUCCCUCCCCG
rnacentral:tRNA from 1 species